ACCUGCCUCAAGUCUGCAACCAGCCUUCGUUCUUCCUGCAGCCCUUGCUCCCUUCCAUGCUGUCAACAUCUCAGCAGCUGUCCUUGAUGCCUCUAAUGGACUCCCUUCCUACCACGUUCUUCACAAAGCCUCAUACCACCUACCUGUUUGUUCUUCUGUCGUGUUGUAAGGUGCAGAUGACCCGAUAAGACAUUUGGGAAAUGGCCAGAGCCCUUUAAGGUGAUAUAUUUCCAUUUAAUAUCAUAAAUAUCUCCUUCUCUAAAAGUGAUUGUGAAUUCAAAAGAGGAG
rnacentral:lncRNA from 1 species